ensembl:lncRNA
CACUUCCUUUCCCCUCUGCUGCAGUCUCACUGUCCCCAAUCUGCUCCUGCCUCAUGGAACCAAUGGCGAUGAACCUCAUUCUCGAUGUCAGAUAUCCCCCAUCCAGCAUUUCCCUUCACCCUGAGCAACAUGUGGGAACAGGGACCAAUGUCACCAUCCGCUGCUGGAACAAGGAUUAUGGGGCCACCUUCUUCCUGCACAAGGAUGGGAGCUCAGACCCUCUCCAGUGGCCAGGACUCCAGUGGUGGGGCACAGCCACUUUCACCCUCUUUGGGGUGACCCCAGCUGACAGUGGCACCUACAGGUGCUCCUACCCCCAAGCACUCCCUCUUCCUCACCCCUUGGGGACAGCGUGAUGCUGGAGGUGACACCCACACCUGCACCCCCAGGUGCUGAGUUGGUGUCCCGUGGGAACCUGGUGGUGGCAGUGGUGAGGGGCGCUGCUGUCUCAUCUUUGCCCUCGGCGUCUUCUUUGUCAUCGAUGCCCGCAGCCUCUGGAUACGGAGAGAUGAGAGUCUGGGUGGGAAGGGAUUUAAUGGCUUGAUCUCCUGUACAUCUCCUACACAUCUCCCCAGUCUUUCUCUUCCUCUCCUUCCAUUCUCUGUAGAAUCCACCAGGUGUACCAUUGGAUCCACUGUACAUUGCCUAUCGAUUCCCUCAGAUGUUCCCUGCCCCCAUCCCAUCUCCUAUAAAUCCCAUGUAUCCCCUGCCUCCCCUUCCAGGCCCUAUAAAUUAUCUAGUCCCAGUCAUCUUGUGCAUCUGUGUCCAUCCUUUAGUGAUCCACUAUAAAUCCACCCAAGUGUUACCUGCCUCCUCUUGCAUCCCCUGUUUAUUCUCACAAGUCCAACAAGUUUCACACCCCCUUCAUCCCCAUAACCCCACAAUGCUCCCCUUCUGUUUUGACUCCGGUGCCUACCCACAAAUUCCUGAGGCUGUGCACUUCCAGAUAGGUCUUUGGGUCAGGACCCCUGAUCCCAGCCUGUUCCUGGGCACCCAUACUCCACCUGGAACCCAAAUCCCUGCCCAUGAGGACCCCGGGAUCCCCCAAAUCAGAUGGCUUACUCUAACCUUGUGUGAUGCUCAAAAUCCUGACCAGGGGGAAGCACAAAUCUGCAUUGUGGAGAUCCCCCAGGGCCCAAAUCAAAGUCCUUGCACCAACUGGGGAAAACCCAGCCAUAAACAUCCCCCUGACAGUGUGGGCAAUCCAUACAAUGUAAUAGGACCCCCAAAAGGCACACAUAUUUACUCUCAAUAUCGACCAGUGUUACCCCAAAUCAAAGUCCCCCCACAUCCCCAAACACACCAUCACUGACCACACCCACACACUUACAACGGAGAUGUCCCUCCUCACAGCCAUACUGAGGAACCCCACAGUGGUUCUCCACCAUCUCCAGUUGCAGGAGAAUGGCUCAAAGAGCAAGGACAUUGUGAGUACGAGUGCUACGUGCACUACCCAGGCUAUGAGAGCUUGAAGCUGUCAAAGCAAAAAGAAAAGCUGAGGCUGCAGUUAAGAUAAGGGGGAAGCUAGCCUGGGGAGAGACUAAGGCAAUGGAAUGUGAGGAACAGUGUGAAAAGCCGUGUGAUGAUUAAUGCUGGACCAAUAGCUUUGCGAGCAAGACGCGUGAUUUCUGUAUGCUAACCAAUCAUGAGCUGUCUAUCUCCGUGUGCACCCUGUAUUUCUGUAUGAGCUGAUUUGGGCAAUAAAUCGAAGCUCCACCAUU